UCGGUAGUGCUAAUGAAAAGUGUAACUUUAGCCUCCCAGCUGUACGUCUCAAUUCAUAAUCCUUCCCCAAAAUCCUGGCCAUAGAGCCGCCUCCCUCUCCCAUGGUGCUCCCCAUCCUGAGCCGGCCCGGGCCUGAUUCAGUUCUGUGUCCACCUCGCAACCUGAGCGCCGUCUCGGGCCGCUUUCCGCAGUUGGGAAACCAGUUUGCAGCCCAGUUGCGUUGACACCCAACUCCCCGUGACCCUGUGUGACUAGAACACGGACAUUUUGGCCGAGGCUUGCUUUCUCUCUGUGGAUUUGUCCCUGCAGUAUGGAGGUCAGAGUCCAAACAGACGCAGCCAGACGCAUGGCCACAGUUUGGUAAGCAGAUUCGCAGGCAGGUAGGUCUGCUCCAGGUGCCCGCUGCCCCCGCAACCCUUCCCACAGGGAUCCCCCGCUGCUCCGAAGCACUCGGGUCAGGGCCGAGGACCCAGUGGGCUCCGAGCGCAGGUCACGAAGGGCUCGGAUAGGCCAGAGAUGAGACGGCGGACUGGCAUGACGACCGGUGUUUGAUGUGGCGCCGGACUGGGCUAUGUUACCGUGUUACUUUGGCUUUAAUUAGCUCCUGCAGCUGCUACUUCCUGGUUGACGAGUCUUAGAAGACCGUGGCUCUGUAAUCUCUUACAGCUGUUUUGAGAGCUGCCAUCAAAGCUGCAAGUGGGAGACGCAGGCGAGGCGGCCACUCAGAGCUGCAAACGGAGAUGACGCUUUGAAGGUACGAGAUUGACACUAUUGUGAUCACAAUGCACAACAGGAGGCGACUUUGAAGGGGAAAAAUGCGGUGAGUGUCGGCUUUCGCGUUAGAAACGAAAAACAUGCGUGGAAUGUACGGAAAACAACAGAGGGACAAACUCGGACCGGCGAAAAAAAUAUCAAUAGGUCAACCUCCCACAAUCUCUUGUGAUAGAUUAGCAAUAGACUAGCUGUGAAUAUUGAUCAUUUUCAUUGACUAUGAAAGGAAUGCCAAUGUUAAAAGGUCAUGGCUCUUCCAGAUGGUGGCAACCAGUAAUUGGGAUGAUGUGUCUGGGAUGUUUCUGAAAAGUGCUGUUGAAUGAUGUAAAAAAAAAAA